rfam:Pedobacter sp. AJM contig14, whole genome shotgun sequence.
AAAAUGGCCUUUUUUAAGGCCACUUUAAAAAAUGGUUGAGAUUAAUU